UUAUGGGAAUUUAGUGAUCCACAUGUCACGGACGCCAUUACACAUGUUAGAAAACUUCGCGGGAAAGUUUUCGAGUUGGGAAAGUUCAGGUAACACAAUAGAGAAAUAAAUGACUAAAUAAAUUGGUCACUUUGAUGCUGUUCAUGGUUGACUGACUUGAUCUGUGGCAGGUUUUUGUGUAGGUUAUUACAAUGUUUGAAGUCGCCUUGGUGAUGUAAUAAGACUUGAGCAGAAAAAUUGGUAUAGAUUAUGACAGAGGAGAUUGAGGAUAGUAACCUUGUAAAAUAUGUGUACAUGUAGGUACAUGUAUGCUUAUGUAUAUUGUUUUUGCUGUAAAAUGAUAAAAUAGUGUCUUUGCAAGAUGGAUAACAUUAUUAUAAAGGAUAUUUUAUGUUAUUUGUGACAUUUUGGAUUAAUAAUUCUUUAUCAGGGUGGAGUUGUUGACUAGAGAUGAUAGUUGAGCAGGUAGUACUACAUGUGCAAGAUACUUGUCUAGAUUGAAUAAAGAUACAGAGGUAGUGAAGAAAGGAAAGAAAGAUGGAUUUAAGAUAAUUUACAACUGGCAAAAGAAAUUUUUUAUUUUUUUUUUAUUUUCUCUGGAAUAUUUGAUUUGGAGGAUAGUGGUAAAAAUUUUGAGACAAUUUGAGGAAAAAAAGAUUAACUUGGUUAAGAAGAAAAUUUACCCGUCUCAAUACUGAGUUGAAUACUAUAAGUUCUGCAUCUUCCAGAAUCCAGUUUGUGAGAUAUAUGGAGAAAUGUUAUGUCUUCUCCAUAGCUACAACAAAGUUCAUUUUAUUACUAUUUCACUUACUUUCUAUUAUUAAUAGAAUUAAUAUAGAUUUUUAUUAUCAACAAAGUAUAUGAUGUACUCUUUGAAAUUAAUUUGAUAAGUGUUGUGUAUUACUAUUAGUCCCUGCAUGCACUUUCUAGAGCAACUCAUUGAGUAUUAAUAUUGUAUUUAUUUAAUGUUUUCUGGGUCUACAAAAGUGCAUGCUUCAGAUAUAAUAAUAUCAUUUAACAAGAUCUAAAAUAUAUUUCUUUUGUGACUUUGUGCCCUUGAUGAAAAAAGGGUUGGCCCUCUUGAUCAUCUAUGCUAACUUUUUUGUCUGACUUUGUUCCCUCUCGAAAUUGAACACUGAUGGACUACCAUUCUAGUCAAGAUGAAUGUAGUAUUAAAGAAAAUCUGUAUGGUACUAGUAGUGUUAAACCAAUGAUUAAUAUGUGAUAAAUAGCAG